rnacentral:pre_miRNA from 1 species
GUUUGUCUGUGUGAGGAUGGUGUUCAGCACCAAGGACAGUUGUGGUUGCCUGUGUGUGGAUGGUGUUCAGCAAAAGGGACAGGUAUGUUUUUCC